GACAAACUUGACUGUGUCAGGGAGCAGACAAAGACCACGGUUUUUUUUUUUUUUUUGAGAGAUACAUGCAGAAUGACAGAAGGCUUCAGUGCCAGUCAGACUCAUAUGCGUGUAGUGUUUUGCUCCCAGGCAAACCUUCUUGCGCCUACUGAAGGGUUACUGCAGUAGCAGGCUGCGACGCUUAGGGGUGGGAGCUCCUUGUGAUUAACCACCCCCUGUUCAGCCUUCUCCUUUCCCGGACACUGGGAUGCUGUUGCUAGGUGACAGAGAAACAGAUUUCCUGAAGACAACCAGGAAGCGACAGAGGUAAAAUCAGUAAGAGGGAAACUUGUGUAAGAAUCGGCAGUGGUCGACACUGGCGCUCGGACCUGACGUCUGUUUCAUCCGUAGACCUCCGAAGCACUUUAGGAAAGCAGAAGAAAGCAAGCUGUGGAAAAAACAACAAAAAAUCUCAAAAUGCUGUACAAGGAAAGAAGAAAGAAAGAAAGAAAAAAAAAGCCUGGUCACAUCCAGAACUCUUCCUUCUUGCAAGAUUCAUGAAAAAAUCUAUGAAAGGCAUUGUACGUUCUUCCAAACCACUGUCAGUGCAAUAAUCAGAGUUUAGAAAGAUGCAUAGAAAAUGAAAAUGUGCUUACAAAGGUAAAGAUGUAUCUCUCUCUUCAUUUGAACUGGGAUUAGGAGUAUGAAAAGAAAGCAACUAUUAGGCAAUUGUGCAAGUUUUCUGUUUUGAAGAUGGGAUGUCAAACACUCAGAGCUUUGGAUGGGUAUUCUUUUAUGUCCCAUAAAAUCAGAAUCCAGAAUAAAUUCCUACUGAAUUACACUGUA